UUUCCUGUGGUUUAACGGCUAGGACGUCCGCUUGUCAUUACAUAAUGUGCGGGAGCCCCGGGUUCGACUCCCGGCAGGAAAG